UUUUUGGACUUCUCAUUGUCGAGCCUUACUAAUCUUAAUGUGCUGCCUCGUUCAAUGUUUCUCUACUUAAUGCUGAGACUCCAUGGCUACAAUGACUUCAUGUCGACAGAUGAUCCUUAGCACUCACAGAAACACUUCUUUACUGUCAGUGUUGGAUUCAGCUGACUCAGUCUUUUGUAAUUCCCCUACACAUUCCUCAACUGACCAACAUUGACCUGUGCGUAGGGACAGCUCUAUGCCCCUAUUCAGCAGGAAGAAGUUACAAAUGAUGAGACCUUCCACCCUCAACAACCCUAAAGAUAUAAGGGUCAAAAUUGUUCAGGGGGGAAUGAUGAAGGAACAGAAGGCAAGCUGAGGACAAAGCAGAAG